GUUUUUCACUGUGCAGCACUUCCUGUCAUGUGACCAGUGUGACGUCAUCGCAGGUCCUGCAGCCCCAGGAGGUGAGAUCUGCAGGUUUCUUAGGUUCAGGACUCUCUUCUUUUUAGAGCCAAUGGUCCUUUCCAUCAAUGACCCACCAAGGAUGGAGAAGGACAGAGACCUCAUGGCUGCAAGGAUAUUAGACCUCACCCUGGAGAUCAUCUCCUUGAUAACUGGAGAGGAUUACACAGUAGUGAAGAAGUCGUCUGGUGAGUGUGUGACACCCCGUGUGUCAGGAGGA